AACAACUCCAACACAAGUUAAUAAAAUAAAAUAAAAAAAAAAAAAAAAAAAUUAAAUAAAAUAAAAUACCACAACCACAACAAAAAAAAACAAAUCUAAUGAAAACUUACGGUAACCGGAAGGAGGGGAUGAGAUGGAGAGGAUUGGUCGGCGUGAACGUCGUCAGAAGUGCGUCGUCGAGCAGCGGUGGUGGUGUGAACAUCACAUGAAUCGAUACGUCGUGGUAUUUCGGUGCGGCAACGAGUUUGUGUUGUUGUUUGGAGGAGGGAAACAAGGUUUUGUAGUUUUGUUCUUGUAAGAUAGACAAG
rnacentral:lncRNA from 1 species